rnacentral:misc_RNA from 1 species
CGCACAUUGCGCCCCCUGGUAUUCCGAGGGGCAUGCCUGUUCGAGCGUCAUUACAACCCUCAAGCACUGCUUGGUCUUGGGCUCCGCUGGGCAACCAGCGGGCCUCAAAGUCAGUGGCGGCGCCGUCGGGCCCUGAGCGUAGUAAACUAUCCUCGCUACAGGGACCCGCCGGACGCUGGCCAGCAACCCCCAGCUUUCUAAGUUUGACCUCGGAUCAGGUAGGGAUACCCGCUGAACUUAA